GAGCGAACAGACGAGGAGCUUGCUCCUCUGACGUUAGCGGCGGACGGGUGAGUAACACGUGGAUAACCUACCUAUAAGACUGGGAUAACUUCGGGAAACCGGAGCUAAUACCGGAUAAUAUAUUGAACCGCAUGGUUCAAUAGUGAAAGACGGUUUUGCUGUCACUUAUAGAUGGAUCCGCGCCGCAUUAGCUAGUUGGUAAGGUAACGGCUUACCAAGGCAACGAUGCGUAGCCGACCUGAGAGGGUGAUCGGCCACACUGGAACUGAGACACGGUCCAGACUCCUACGGGAGGCAGCAGUAGGGAAUCUUCCGCAAUGGGCGAAAGCCUGACGGAGCAACGCCGCGUGAGUGAUGAAGGUCUUCGGAUCGUAAAACUCUGUUAUUAGGGAAGAACAAAUGUGUAAGUAACUAUGCACGUCUUGACGGUACCUAAUCAGAAAGCCACGGCUAACUACGUGCCAGCAGCCGCGGUAAUACGUAGGUGGCAAGCGUUAUCCGGAAUUAUUGGGCGUAAAGCGCGCGUAGGCGGUUUUUUAAGUCUGAUGUGAAAGCCCACGGCUCAACCGUGGAGGGUCAUUGGAAACUGGAAAACUUGAGUGCAGAAGAGGAAAGUGGAAUUCCAUGUGUAGCGGUGAAAUGCGCAGAGAUAUGGAGGACACCAGUGGCGAAGGCGACUUUCUGGUCUGUAACUGA
rnacentral:rRNA from 1 species